rnacentral:lncRNA from 1 species
UUGUUAGCCAUAUAUCCUUUAUGAUUCUAGAACCACUAGAUUAUGGAUAAGCCUAAACCACCUCUUUGCGUAAAAAAUGUGGAAGAGGGACAUUUAUUCCUCUUGAAAUAGUUUUCCAUAAAUUAUUUUUGGGGAACUCAACACUCUAACACAUGGUCCUUCGACCAUUAAUAUUUAAUUUUAGUCCUACACACACUUCUGAGAGACUUGCAAGC